GGCAAGCGCAAUAAGCGGUUCAAAUGGCACACGAGAACUGCAGCAAAUAAUGAUUAAAUCCCCCACCGUCUAUGUUACGUACUUCAUCGGCUCAAGCCUCGACUGGCAAAUUAUACGCCAACGUAAAACAACAGGCGUCGUUUUAUGCGCGAAAAACUUUGGUAAUCGGACUCGAAAAACAAUGCAAGAAACUGGAAUUUAACUAUCGUCCCCGCUUUAUGUUAUUGACGUGGUCGCUGUGCGUUGUUAUACAUAGUGUUAAUGAAUCGCCCUCUGGUUAAAGUUUCCCCUGCCUGCUUAUCUGGAGUAUGGUGCUGCUGGAGUAUGCAGUUCUUGCAACUUUGUUGGACCAUGAAGCCCGCUGCUGACAAAUUAUAACAGAAUAUCGCAGGUCUGUGAGCAGUGGUGUGCCAAGGGAUCUGUGGUGGGUCCCACAUGUUUUACCAUCAAUAUUGAUGAUUUGACUGAAAAGAACUGCAAUUAAAUGUGGCAUGUUUCUGAAGAAGAGUGGAGAAAGUUUUCAGUAUUUGGCCAAUAUUUAAACCACAGUCAACGGAAAGGCAAGUUAUCUUGUACUAUUACGUUGUCAAAUCUGGGAGAUCGCUGUGAACAAACCUCUACUGUGUUUUCUUCAUGACAGCAGUGGCUUCAGAACAUCUUCAUUAGUUAUCGAGCCAUUUGGAAGGACAUGGAAGGCUUGUGAAAGCCCUUCCCCUCCCCUUAACCCUUCCCCCCUUAACAUCCCUAUCUAAAAAAACAGUGGAAAAAAAAGAAAGAAAAAAGAAAGAAAGAAGAAAGAAAGACUGCCUGGAUAUCAGAAGAUCCCCACAUGCUCCAUGCUUCGAUGUUUCAAUGCACAUGUGACAAAUAGAGUUAAUCUUUAAAUUCUUGAUUGAUGUCUUUUUGACUUAUUGACCACUUGCUUUAAAUCAGAAGUCUUUAUUCCAUUUAAUAAUGUUCCAAUUUAAUAUUUUCCAAAGAUUCUGCUAUUUUUGUAAUAUUAGCCCUUUUGAAAUUUUGAGUUUGCAAUGUAAAUAGUGGUAGACUUUAUCAUUAGUAUUGCUCAAGUACUCCUCCACAUGGAGGUCGGAUGUAGUUCCUGGG